GGGCUGGUCGGUGUCGGUCCCAGGGGGGCUCUCGGGGUGAACUCCCGUAUGGUAGCUGGGUUGAUCCUGGACAGUCCUGAUCUUUUUGUGUGUGCUGCCUGAAGUAUACCCGUAGACGUCAGGAGUGCUUCCAGUUCUUGGUAGCUCUGUGCUUUGUGGGGUGUCUCGUUAAGGGUGAGUAGUACUGCCCGUGGGGUCCCCCAACGGUAGGGCAUCUCCCUGUUGCGGAGAUGUUGUAGCAGCGGCUGCAAAGAUUUCCGCCAGGUAAGCGUACUCCUGGUGAUGUCCUGGAAAAAUGUAAGUGUGCUGCCCUCAAACAUAUAUGGGGUUUUGCCCCUCAGUGUAUUUUGAAGUGUCGCUUUGUCCGAUA